rnacentral:lncRNA from 1 species
AUUUGCUUUCUAUUUAUUAGGUCCUAUUAUGGUCCCCUUGUGAAAGUUGGGAAAUCAUAUGCUCUAGUGACAAGGGGGACUUGAUUUGAAAUCAAAAGAUCUGGAUUCACAUCCUGGAUGUUCCCUCUGUGACCUCAUCUCUGGUAUCCCCUAUUAGGUUUUGUUUUGUUGGGUUUUUUUUUUCAUUUGUACCAUGAAGAUAUGUAAAAGAAAUGACAUCUAAACUCCCUUCCAACUUUAAAGUCCUAUGAUUUCAUAAGGCCUGGCCUUUGGAAAUGGUAUUCCCUUCUAGUUGUAUUGAAAAAGAUCUUAAAUAGCUUCUUAGAAAGCACUGAAUAUUUUAUGGGGGUGGGAGCUGGACAUUGAGAGAAUGUCUUAUUAUUAAGCCCAUUCAUACCCCCAAAUAUGCUUUUUUUCAAUCCUUAUCUCUUGUCUUUGAAUCAAUAUUAAGUAUAAGUUCCAAGGUAGAAGAGAGGAAAGGACUUGACAACUGAGGUCAAGUGACUUGCCCAAGUAUAUGAGGCUAGAUUUGAACACAGAAUCUCCCAAAUCCAGACUUGGCUUUCUAUCCAUUGAGUCACCUAGCUACCCCUCUACCCAAAAUAUGUUGAGAGCCAGUGUCUCUGGAUCUUCUGGACACCAUCCCUGAGAGCACCUAGAAGCUAUAUCUUAGAAACUAAAGAGAAGAUUCUACUUGGGAAAGAAGGAAGGAAAUAAACAUUUAUUUAAUGUCUACUAUGUCAAGCACUGUACUAAAUGCUUUAAAAAUAUUAUCUCAUUUUAUUUUAAGUGAUUUACCCAUUUGCAUAGCUAGUGAAUUUUUGAGGUCAGAUUUAAACUCAGGAUAUCUUGACCCCAGGCACAAUUCUCUGUCCAGUAUCCACGUAGCAAGCUCAGGACCCAGGGAGUGCAUGGACUAUAAAGGAAGUCAUGAAUUCAACAGGAUCCAGAGGAGAUUGAAAAGGAAGAGCAGAUCACAGCUGAAAAGGCAGUGACAAAGGAGGAGUUCCAGGGUGAAUGGACUGCACCUGCUCCAGAAUUCACUGCUACUCACUCAAAGGUGGCUGAUUGGUCUGAGGGAGUACACGUUCCAUCUGUUCCCAUUCAACAGUUUCCGACUGAAGACUGGAGUGCUCAGCCAGCUCCUGAGGACUGGUCUGCAGUUCCUCCUGCUCAGGCUACUGACUGGGUAAUACCACAGAGUGGUCCUAAGUUUUAUCCCAGAUGCUCUUAAUAGUUUUGAAAAAAAUUUGACUGAAAAUAAACAUCAGUUUCUUACAAAAAAUAUUUCUGUU